GGGGUUGUGGCUCAGUGGUAGAGCGCCUGCCUCCCAUACACGAGGCCCUAGGUUCAAUCCUCAGCACCA
rfam:Ictidomys tridecemlineatus contig058271, whole genome shotgun sequence.